GAAUAAGGAAGUGGAGACGCCCCUCCUGUCUGGACUCGCUGCAGGAAUGUGCUCGUGUUUUCACAUUUAAUGAUGAUUUUAUCAUCAGAUCAUCUGCGACAUUCACAAGAUUUCUGAAGCUGAAGGAUCAAAUGAGUUCACCUGUCGUCUCAGUGCCGCGUUCGACAUUAUCGACCAUAAUAUUCUUAUCAAUCGUCUAGAAUGUAUGGCUGGCAUCCAGGAGAUGACCCUCCAGUGGGUUUCCUCCUAUCUCAAAGAAAGGACGUUCUCUGUAAAUCUACGCUGGGGUCAGAGUGCAGGGUCAACCAUGAUACAGCACCCCUGGAGCAGAUAGGGUCAAGGGCCUUGCUCAAGGGCCCAACAGUGGCAUCUUGGCAGAGCUGGGGCUUGAACCGCUGACCUUCUGAUCAGGAACCACUGCCCCACCACUGCCCCUAGAGCACUACCAUCAGAGAGCUAAGUGAAUGUUUUCUUCAAAUGCUUAACUGUGAUUGAAUUUUUUUGUGUGCGUCUCUGAAUAUGUGUUAAUUUAUACUUGUUUGGAGUUUGCAGACAGCCUACAAAGGACUUUGUAAAGGGAUUGUAAAAAGCAAGCACUGUUAAGGACUGAGAGUGUGUUGAAAGGAGUUUCCCACCAGCCUUACCUGAUUGGAUUACUUUUUUUGAAUUUACUAUUUUUCUUGGAUUUUCAUCACAUCACCAUCUGGGACAUUUCAAAGACUGCUCCUUUCCUCAUCAAACAUACAGAUAAGUCAUUUGCUUUAUGGACUGUGUAAAUGUUGCUUUCUCUCCAUACUGAACAGCCUAUAUUUCAUUCCCCUUUUUGCAUACUGUUGUUUAUUGUGUUACAGUGUUUAAUUUACCAGUUCAUCUCAAUCAAACAAACAACAUUUCAUGUAUCAAUGCUUUAUUUCAUGGUUAUGAGUUAUGUUUAUUGUGACUGUUAUUUAUUUUGCUGAUUUGAUUUACAGUGGUGCUUUAUGCUUCAUGAAUAUGCUCAUUGGUUUGUGUUACAAUUCAUGUUUUCAAUACAAAGAAUUUAUGUUUUGCCCUUACAAAUCAAGACUCUCAUGUUUAUUUAAUACUUCAACCUUAUGCAGUUAGAAUCCCCUUUAACUGAUGUAGCCUACUGCCUGUGGAAAUAGAUGAGAUGAUUAUACUAAUCUCUGGAACCGUCUCCAUGUGAGGUCAGCUUCUUCAUUAGCCAUUUUUAAGUCUUCUUUGAAAACAUGUUUUUAUUGAAAUGGGUUAAUAUAUGAUGCUGUAUUUAAAGAUAUUUUUGUUUUCUUUUGUGUGUAUGUAUGUGUGUGUGUGUAUAUAUAUAUAUAUUAUACGGUGUUGGGGAGUAACAGAAUAAAUAUUUAAAAUAUUAGUAACUGUCCACUACAGUUACAAUUUAAAUCAUUGGUAAUUAGUAAUUCAAAAAAUAUUUAGAUUACUGAAGAGAUUACUUUGCAUUUUAUUGUCAUUUGUUUCAUUUAAUAUUUAGUCCUUUCAGAUGGAAAACAUUUAUACAUAUAAAUGAUGCGAUCCAAAGUGCAUUUGAACAGCGGUGAAAAACUUUCUUAUGAUGUGUUACAUUCAUACGAGCAGACAGAGAAGUACGUUUGAAGUAAGUUUGGAGCAGAAGAAAUAGAAAUAAACCUUGUGUAAAUUGUCAGCUUUACGCUAAGCUAAAAUGCUAUUUCUAGCCAUUUUACAUAUACAUCCUUAAAACAAGAUCAGUUUGAUUUAUCUUGUUUUAGAAACAACAUUGCAUAAGAUAUUUAGGUUUUUCAGAGAAUGUAUUUUUAACAUGCAUAUUUUGUCAAAACUGACUGUUCAUGUAAAGAGACGAUUUAAAUAAUCUUUUACAAGCACUCCUCGUUGCUGUGUGACUUCAAAUUAAUGCCAUGUAAGAUCCCGCAAGAUUGCCGAGAGAGGGAUCCCUUCUAGACAUGACUGAAAUCAAACGGAAGUGAGCAUCCCUAUGCCCUACUCCCUCCGAAGGGCUGAGCCCUUGAAAUGGGAACUCUGGAGGGAGCAGGGCACUCGCGUCUCAUGUAUGGCCAUUUGGAACACCCUUGAUGAAGGGAGUAAUGAAAUACAUACGUUUUAUUUGGUCAUCACAACUUUGAUAAGAGUAAAGGACCAAUAUUUUCUGAUAAACUGAUUUAUUUUUCUGGCAAAAUUUUUCUUACACAAAUGUAAAUUUCAGGGUACUAAGCCAUACUUUUUCGUUUUUCAUAAGGAUCUUAAAUCCUACCUGGACAGUCUCAUUGCCUCCAGCAACUCCAAAGCCCUCAAAACUGUCUCACUAUGUAAUCUUUAUGAUAUUUCCUAAUUUUGUAACAUGUAAUUGAAUUCUCUACUGUGUUUACCCCUGACAUUGACUUUGUAUGUCCUUAAAGUUAAUAAAAAAAAUAAAGAAAAGACUUCAAAA